rnacentral:rRNA from 1 species
UACGGGGGGGGCAAGCGUUGUUCGGAAUUACUGGGCGUAAAGGGCUCGUAGGCGGCCAACUAAGUCGGACGUGAAAUCCCCAGGCUCAACCUGGGAACUGCGUCCGAUACUGGAUUGCUUGAAUCCGGGAGAGGGAUGCAGAAUUCCAGGUGUAGCGGUGAAAUGCGUAGAUAUCUGGAGGAAUACCGGUGGCGAAGGCGGCAUCCUGGACCGGCAUUGACGCUGAGGAGCGAAGGCCAGGGGAGCAAACGGG